rnacentral:rRNA from 1 species
UACGGAGGAUGCAAGCGUUCUCCGGAUUCAUUGGGUUUAAAGGGUGCGUAGGCGGAAUAAUAAGUCAGUGGUGAAAGCCUGCGGCUUAACCGUAGAAUUGCCGUUGAUACUGUUAUUCUUGAGUAUAGUUGAAGUGGGCGGAAUGUGUAAUGUAGCGGUGAAAUGCUUAGAUAUUACACAGAACACCAAUUGCGAAGGCAGCUCGCUAAACUGUUACUGACGCUGAGGCAAGAAAGCGUGGGGAGCAAACAGG